rnacentral:lncRNA from 1 species
AAGGCCCAAGUCCACAAGACAGAAAGAAUAGGUGAAAAGUCCAUGUCAUCUCAUUUUUGGAGAUGGACAUGGACAGGGGCUGAAACUGCAGUAUCAGCAGAUGGGGAGCUUAAGAAGGAAGCUAGUUCAUGGCACAGCACCCGUAAAGUCCCCAGAAUUGGAGGCACCAGAUUCUUCUGAAAGAAAAGGAGCAAUUCAGCACUUGUCAUGGAGAUAAGAGGUCAACACCCCAGGACGGAGUGAAAACCUAAGAUGGACUCAACGACUCUUACCGUCCAGCUCUCAAGUCCCUUCUCUUGUGAAAAUGGAAAAGUUGAACUACAGUUGAGAUAUUAUUCCCAGGUGUUCUUUGGAACACAGGGGAUUUCUCCAAAAGACACAGAACAAAUUGCCUCCAAACAGCCAAGAUUCCAGCAGAAGCUGGAGUAGCAGACUGCUUGGAUCUUCAAAGUACCUGGCCCUGAGUCAGUUAAGGAAGAUCGUUUCUUCUCUUUUGUACAAUCCUAUGAUGAGAGCUGCAAAGUGAACUGACUAAGAGCUUCUGCCUUCAUCAUUGACCUCCCAAUCCUAAUAAUAUGUUCACUGGCCAAACUUCCUAAUCGAUUUGUCUUUUGGAUAUAACGUUCCUCCUACUGUUUGCCUGAUUGAGAAAUCUGCUACAGAACAUGACCGGUUAGCAUUCCCACCAACCCCAGUGCUACACUGACUGUCUUUCGAUGGACUUUGCUCCUUGCUGCCUCUCUGAGGUCCCAGACCUUCAGAGUGACCUUCACAGCUCUGCCUAACUUUCUGUCAUACUUCUAUCAAGAGAGACAGCUAAAUCAAUAUUUUUAAUGUGCUUUGCUGUCAGAAUUCGAUGAUCUGUCACAGUUCUUGCCCAAUACACCCCAUCAUUAUUGUUAAAAUGUUUUUAGCUUUGUUUGUAGAAUUGCUUUAACUGGUUUCAUCUCUGGGAGCUACACUUUGAAAUAUAACUUUAGCAACAUUUUACUAUACUUUUUCACAACCCAGAGCAGUACUAUUUUAUGCUUAGUGGUUAAUCUAAUUCCAUAAAUCUUUUGCAACUAUCCUCUAUUCUUUUUCUUGUAAUUUUUACCUGGGAAGGUUUUUACUGAUAAUCAUCCUAUCCUGAGUCAUCCCACAAACCAAUCUGUCUCACUAAUCAUUGCUUCUAACCUACAGACUAAGCAUAACUUCUGCUAAAUGAUCUUUGAUAAGAUGCUAUGACUCUAUAAACUCUUUGAUAUUCAUGUCUAAAUUUAAUCACUUGUAGAUUUUCAUAGAAUCAAUCUUUCACUUCUACAAUUGGGAGUAUUUAUAAGUUGUUUAUCUUAAACAGUUCCUCUAUCACGC